AGCGAACGUUAGCGGCGGGCCUAACACAUGCAAGUCGCACGAGAAAAGGGCUUCGGCCCCCAGUAAAGUGGCGGACGGGUGAGUAACACGUGGGUAAUCUACCUUUCAGCGGGGGAUAACAGUCCGAAAGGAUUGCUAAUACCGCAUACGUCGGGGUGCCUCUCGAGGCGCUUCGGGAAAACCGGCCUCUCCAUGGAAGCUGGCACGGAAAGAGGAGCCCGCGGCCCAUCAGCUAGUUGGUAGGGUAAUGGCCUACCAAGGCUAAGACGGGUAGCUGGUCUGAGAGGAUGAUCAGCCACACUGGGACUGAGACACGGCCCAGACUCCUACGGGAGGCAGCAGUGGGGAAUAUUGGGCAAUGGGCGCAAGCCUGACCCAGCCACGCCGCGUGAGUGAUGAAGGCCUUCGGGUCGUAAAGCUCUGUGGGGAGGGAUGAAACCACGCUGGCUAACAUCCAGCGGACUGACGGUACCUCCUUAGCAAGCACCGGCUAACUCCGUGCCAGCCGCCGCGGUAACAC
rnacentral:rRNA from 1 species